rfam:Triticum aestivum genome assembly, contig: Triticum_aestivum_CS42_TGACv1_scaffold_000365_1AL
CAGAUACUCCCUCCGUCUCAAAAUUCUUGUUUUAGAUUUGUGUAGAUACGGAUGUACCUAAUAAUACUAAAACGUGACUUGAUACAUCCGUACUUAGACAAAUCUAAGACAAGAAUUUUGGAACAGAGGGAGUAUAUU